AUGCUUCACCAGGCUAACGCGGGCAGUGCUUGGCAGAGGAAGCUCCACUGCAGAUGCUCUGUGGCCCAGAAACUCCACGCCCCAUUGCCUGGCCAGGCAGCUUCUACAGCAUCACCUCGGGGGAGAGAGACCCAUCACGGACUGCAGAGAGGCCGCCACCGCAUGCCAGGACCUCUGCGUGCACACGGUGCUGGAUGCGGAAUCACAGCCUCCCCGUGCAGUUGCCCUCGAGCUCCUGCUGCUCAUGACACGCUGUCACCUGACGGACCGGGACCAGCUCCGGGCGGAAGCGAGCCCGCUGCAUGGUUUGUGUCUGUGCGGUUACAGAGCGUGUCCUUCGCUUUGUUAUUUUUCAAUAGGUUUGGGAAUUUCAGCAUGCUAGAAACGUGGCCUUUUCAAGGGUCGGUUUAGCUUGGACUGAAAAUAAGCAGGCAAAAAUUUUAAUGCAUGUUUGAAGGGAGAUUUUAAAAGACGCAUGUUCAGUAAAGUGUAUGUCUUCUCUGUUUCAGUUAGCAGACUGGAGGGAAUUUGGACUUGGAUUGCCCAAAGCGGUGAGGUUUCCAGGCUGAUGGCAGCUUGGAUGCUGAUCUCCUUACAGGACUUUGAAGACUGCAUCCUCACAGCUUUCCCUGCACUUGCGUGCAAACAUUUUUGUUGCAAGGCAAGAGGGUGAGGAGGAGUCAGCGGAGCCGAUAAACAUGGUGCAAUUGAGCAACCCAAUAAACUUUAUCCAAUUUGUCUUACA
rnacentral:lncRNA from 1 species